AAACAAGCAAACAUAUUCAUCUCUAAAUGUACCCAGCCUAAUUUACAUAUAACACUCUCAAUCAAUUAUAGCCUCACGAUCCGAAUCAUUUGAUUAUAUCUAGCCGUCCAUAUACACUAAUCGUCAGCCAAAAGUGCGUUUAGCGAUUUGAGAGAGCGGACGAAAACUCUGCCGUCUCGGUACGAUCCGCAGCCGCGGCCCCAACAAUCACACAUGAAAAAAGGAAGCAGAUCCAAUCGAAUCCCCUCACCCUCAACGAAGCGCUGCACCUCCGGCUUGUGGCGUCAGCCUUCUCUCCCUCCUCACCAGAUUUUGUCUUCGCCAUCGAGAGGUGUUAAGGGAGGCGCACGCGACGCGACGACGGCGGGGAGAAGCGGCGCAUUGGCGGACAGCCGGACAUCAGCGCAUAUGCAGCACAUAGCAGCGGCGGCUGUAAGGCCAUGGCGGACGAGCAGGUGGUGCGGCUGAGGGCGGGAGAAGAGAGGCUGGGCGGCGCCGGAGGCGGAGCUCGGCCGCAAGCGUGGCACGCACAGGGCAGUGCCGCGCGAGCGCCCUGCAGUCGCAUCACCGAGCGGCAACCCCGCCGCCACACUACUGCACGAGGGCAGCGCCACCGCAUCGCCGAGCCACAGCCCGGCCGUUCCCGGCCGGAGGUCGCCGACGCCUUUCCCAACUUUUGGGUUGGCACCCUGAUCGGACGCCUCCCUUUUGGUUAACAUGUUUCUAUGAAAUUGAACAUUUCAGUAACAUUCUGCUGUGUGUUCACAACUUCACAUUAAUUCAGAAAUUGUAUGUAUGAAUCGACUGCAUCCGAUGAUGUGCUUCUCCUGUUCCCUUGAAAGGAUUGCUGGAUGGAAAGAUGUUUUUGCUUUCAGGAUUUCUGGUGUGUGUACGACCCUCUAAGUAACUCUUUUUCAUCUCAUGCAGCAGCAGAGGCUUAGAGGAAGGCGCUGCAGCGUGGAUGCACAUGGGAUGCUGCAGGUUAAAAUCAUUUUAGUUUGUUGAUAAUUUGUCAGACGUAGAUUGUAAGUUAUAUAGCAGAAAUAGAUUUUAAUUUGUGUAUGGUGUGGAUUCCAAAACUAAUCUGCUUGUACCGAAUUAAUAUCUUGUACAUAAAUUUGCAUGACGAAUCUUUUUGCAAGAUACAUGUGCCAAAGAGGAGGAGAGUAUGAAAAGAUAAAGGAGUCAGGAAGGACCGAAGGAGAAAUCAUAUGAACAUGAACCUGAUGAUGACCCAUAGUUGGAUGUAUGUGAGAGGUACAGGUGUUAGCUCAUAAGCAUAUCAGAAUACAACAUGACGUGUAUAAUUAUUCAGUUAUUGUUUUUAUCCAUGCCUCAACAGCCAGACCAAAUUAAACGACAAACUGCAAUUAUAUGAAGACCCAUUACAUACACGGCCAACCCACCUGUCAUCGCGAGACAAGUUAAAAGUGAAGCAACUAAAUGUUUGGGUCGAAUGUUGUUACUAUUGGUUUCUUCAAGGGUAGUAACUUUUACCCAACAUAUGUCACUUUUUUAGGUUAAUUGACUAGCCCCUCUUUUUAUAAUGGUCCAGUCAAUUAAGAGAAAAGGGGAAAGAAAAAUGUAUGAUGACACAAGGGCUAUCAAUUACAGAGUGAAUUACAUAGCCUGCAACAUUUGCAUCCCUGGCCCUUUUUAUGACCCUACAAGGGCUAUCUCUAUGAGCUGAACAAUUACAGCAGAGGACACACUCAAAUUCAGAGUUUAGAGCCUGAUGAGCAAUGUUGUGAGAACUUGUUGAUGAUCUGCAUAUUUUCCGUGAAAUUUGGACGUGUUGGAUGGUCCAUGUGAGGUUCUCCAAGAAUUGUUUUUCCUCAUUUUUCUGUUCUGGUAGUAUGAUGGAUUUUGAUUAGAUAAGAACCUGCGGUUUCUUUGGUAAGUUGGGAUUAAGAGUUCCAUAUAUAUGCGCCAAGAGAGUAUGUAGGGAAAUCAUGAUAUGACCUUGCUUGAGUUAGUAUUUUCUUGUGCAUUUCAAUACCUACUAUUAAUUAUAUUGUUUUUCCUUCCUCAGGAUCCACAAAUUGUCAAGCACACAUGCUACAACCAUCAACUUCUGGGAUAUUAACUAUCUAACUUGGCAAUGUUCACAAAAUGGUUUCCAUCAUCUAUGUGAUUCUGUUUCCAUUAUAGCUGUUUGUUUCUCCAAUGACUAUGUCUACUGUUACGCACGAUAAGAAAUCUAUUCAGGCUAUGUCACUGCAUCCAAAAGACUUGGUACCCACGAGUUCGUUUUCCUAUUAUGUACAUUGCUGGAAGCCUGGAACCUUUAAAAAAAUUAUAACCUUACAAUUCAGUAUUUCAUAUGCCAUCUGAUGAUACAAGGUCUUCACAGGAAAAACAAUGGCACUUGCCCUUUUAGAAAACAAACAGAGGAUUUUUGGGCGAACCCUCACUUUUAAUGCAAGUUCACUGGACGACUACCAUAUCUUUAUGUACCAUUUGAUUGCUUGGAUGAAGUUUUUUUCUGGGGGAUUGCUUGGAUGAAGUUGAACGGGAGAUCCCCAUCAGCUUUUAGAAGGCAUGAUUUUGUUUGGUUGGUUUGGUGGACAAUUCAGGUAUAUAUCCCAUUAAAACUAAUAUAGCUCCAACCAGGGCAGAACCAAGUGGUUAAAAACUGAGUGAGCCGAGACAUUUCUUGACGCGACUGGUUAAGCUUAAAUUUCCAUGUGAUAUUCAUUUCUUAAGUAA